GAUGAACGCUAGCUACAGGCUUAACACAUGCAAGUCGAGGGGUAACGAGAGGAAAGCUUGCUUUCCUUGCCGACGACCGGCGCACGGGUGAGUAACGCGUAUCCAACCUGCCCCCAACUAGGGAAUAACCUUGCGAAAGUAAGACUAAUACCCUAUAAUUUCCUCAGAUGUCAUCUGACGAGGAAUAAAGAUUUAUCGGUUGUGGAUGGGGAUGCGGCUGAUUAGCUUGUUGGCGGGGUAACGGCCCACCAAGGCAACGAUCAGUAGGGGUUCUGAGAGGAAGGUCCUGCACAUUGGAGCUGAGACACGGUGCAAACUCCUACGGGAGGCAGAGGUGAGGAAUAUUGGUCAAUGGGCGGAAGCCUGAACCAGCCAAGUAGCGUGCAGGAUGACGGACCUAUGGGUUGUAAUCUGCUUUUAUGCAGGAAUAAAGUUAGCCACGUGUGGUUAUUUGUAGGUACUGUAUGAAUAAGGACCGGCUAAUUCCGUGCCAGCCGCCGCCGUAA
rnacentral:rRNA from 1 species